rnacentral:rRNA from 1 species
UACGUAGGGUCCAAGCGUUAAUCGGAAUUACUGGGCGUAAAGCGUGCGCAGGCGGUUGUGUAAGUCAGAUGUGAAAUCCCCGGGCUCAACCUGGGAAUUGCAUUUGAGACUGCACGGCUAGAGUGUGUCAGAGGGGGGUAGAAUUCCACGUGUAGCAGUGAAAUGCGUAGAGAUGUGGAGGAAUACCGAUGGCGAAGGCAGCCCCCUGGGAUAACACUGACGCUGAGGCACGAAAGCGUGGGGAGCAAACAGG